rnacentral:piRNA from 1 species
UCCCAGGUAUACUGAAGGGGUGACAGAGA